rnacentral:lncRNA from 1 species
UUUGAAUCCCAUAUACUGCAUUUACAAAACUUUUCUAAUGAAACAUCGUCUUUUCACAUGAUGUUAUCAUUGUUUGGUAACGAGUCUUCUUGCCCUGCUACACUCAGUGCUCAGUAGGUGUUAUUAUUAUUUUCAUAGUACUCUUCUUAGCCUCCUGCUUAAUCUGUUACAGGUACAUAAGAAUAUUUGUUGAGUGAAUUACUUAAAAAUGCAAAUCUGGUUAUGUCUGUCCUCUGCUUACAAUGUUCCAUUUACUUUAGGAUAAAAAUGAAAAUCCUCGACACAGCCAGAAGGUCCCGAGUGAUGCUUCUUCCAGUUCCCUGGGAGGCAGCCUGGUGUCAAAGAGGGAACAUGAACUCUGGAGUCAUACAGACCUGGCCUGAAACUGAACUCAGCCUCUUCCACCUGUGCAGCCCAGUGCACUUGAUAUGACCUCACCGUGACUCACUUUUCUCCUCUUUAAAAUGGUCGAUGUGAACCAUAACUCACGGGGCUGUGAAGAUUCUGUUUGAAAAAUAAUAAAGCUCCUUGUGUCUGGCGUGGAGACAGGGACAGAUAGAUGGUAGAUACUAAAACAGCACUUCUGUGAAGGGAAGCCCCAAAUACUGUUGUCAGCCUCCCCUCCCAUGAUUUACUCUUAGCUGAUAAAUUCCACUGUUGACAGUUGAGCUGAGGCGUGCUGUCUCUGGGGGAGCUGAUUAAAAAGAAAUACCUUAAAGGGAAAACACAUUAAACUAUGAUCAAUCUAAAUUAUUGUCUUAAUUAAUAAUUAAGCCAUUUAUUGUGCAAGCGGG